rnacentral:rRNA from 1 species
UACGUAGGGCGCAAGCGUUGUCCGGAAUUACUGGGCGUAAAGCGUGCGCAGGCGGUGAUGUAAGUCAGAUGUGAAAUCCCCGGGCUCAACCUGGGAACUGCAUUUGUGACUGCAUCGCUGGAGUGCGGCAGAGGGGGAUGGAAUUCCGCGUGUAGCAGUGAAAUGCGUAGAUAUGCGGAGGAACACCGAUGGCGUAGGCAAUCCCCUGGGCCUGCACUGACGCUCAUGCACGAAAGCGUGGGGAGCAAACAGG